GUGAACCUGCGGAAGGAUCAUUACCGAGUGUAGGGUUCCUAGCGAGCCCAACCUCCCACCCGUGUUUACUGUACCUUAGUUGCUUCGGCGGGCCCGCCAUUCAUGGCCGCCGGGGGCUCUCAGCCCCGGGCCCGCGCCCGCCGGAGACACCACGAACUCUGUCUGAUCUAGUGAAGUCUGAGUUGAUUGUAUCGCAAUCAGUUAAAACUUUCAACAAUGGAUCUCUUGGUUCCGGCAUCGAUGAAGAACGCAGCGAAAUGCGAUAACUAGUGUGAAUUGCAGAAUUCCGUGAAUCAUCGAGUCUUUGAACGCACAUUGCGCCCCCUGGUAUUCCGGGGGGCAUGCCUGUCCGAGCGUCAUUGCUGCCCAUCAAGCACGGCUUGUGUGUUGGGUCGUCGUCCCCUCUCCGGGGGGGACGGGCCCCAAAGGCAGCGGCGGCACCGCGUCCGAUCCUCGAGCGUAUGGGGCUUUGUCACCCGCUCUGUAGGCCCGGCCGGCGCUUGCCGAACGCAAAUCAAUCUUUUUCCAGGUUGACCUCGGAUCAGG
rnacentral:rRNA from 1 species